UACGGGGGGGUGCGAGCGUUGUCCGGAAUCACUGGGCGUAAAGCGCACGUAGGCGGCUUCUUAAGUCAGGGGUGAAAUCCUGGAGCUCAACUCCAGAACUGCCUUUGAUACUGGUGAGCUUGAGUCCGGAAGAGGUGAGUGGAACUGCGAGUGUAGAGGUGAAAAUUCGUAGAUAUUCGCAAGAACACCAGUGGCGAAGGCGGCUCACCUGGACCGGUACGUGACGCUGAUGCGCGAAAGCG
rnacentral:rRNA from 1 species